rnacentral:rRNA from 1 species
UACGUAGGUGGCAAGCGUUGUCCGGAAUUAUUGGGCGUAAAGCGCGCGCAGGUGGUUCCUUAAGUCUGAUGUGAAAGCCCCCGGCUCAACCGGGGAGGGUCAUUGGAAACUGGGGAACUUGAGUGCAGAAGAGGAAAGUGGAAUUCCAUGUGUAGCGGUGAAAUGCGUAGAGAUAUGGAGGAACACCAGUGGCGAAGGCGACUUUCUGGUCUGUAACUGACACUGAGGCGCGAAAGCGUGGGGAGCAAACAGG